rnacentral:rRNA from 1 species
UACGUAGGGGGCAAGCGUUGUCCGGAUUUAUUGGGCGUAAAGAGCGUGUAGGCGGCCAGGUAGGUCUGCUGUGAAAACUCGAGGCUCAACCUCGAGACGUCGGCGGAAACCAUCUGGCUAGAGUCCGGAAGAGGAGAGUGGAAUUCCUGGUGUAGCGGUGAAAUGCGCAGAUAUCAGGAGGAACACCGGUGGCGAAAGCGGCUCACUGGCCCGAUAUUGACGCUCAUGUACGAAAGCGUGGGGAGCAAACAGG